UACUGCAUUUUUCCAGAACUUUCAACGGCAUCUCAGCAGAUAGCAUUAGUUGGAAUACAUUCUUAAUAUCUUAAUAUUUGUAAAACUACACAAUUUUAAGAUUUUUGGUUAAUAUAUGUGAAUAAGGACUAUUUAGUUGUUGCAGUUUGUUAUUUGCCUAAUAAAUAACAAUACAAUUUUUAGUUUGAAAAAAGAUUUAUAAAACAUUUGUUUUCUCGUUUUUAUAGAUAGAUAGAUAGAUAGAUAGAUAGAUAAUAAAGUCGUUCAGCACUGUAGACGGCUUCUUUCACCCAUCUCUCAACUCAUUUGUCCUCUAUGUUCAAAAUGUGAAAAUGAACAUUCUUUGUCAUUGAGAUGCAGGUAAAACCAGGACAAAUCCUGACGGGCCGCCAGAAUAUCCAUGAAGCUUUACAGUCCCAGUGUGUCUCAUAAUCUUCUCUUUAUUUUUAAUGAGUCUAGAUGCGAAUUUCUCUGUCAGUACACCCCUGAAUACAACUGUGAUUUAUCAGGUCUUAGAACAUAGAUGUCAAUAAAAUAACUCUAUUUGCUCACAAACCUCUAUUUGCUCAAAAAUCUAAUAUUUUCACUUUGACUGUAGCUAUUCGUCCCAAAAGGGAGAUGGGGAGGUUGUUCCAACGCCUCAGAUCAUCACAGACUUUGUCCAAAAGUGGAGUGAAUUUCAGGUGAACUAGUUCUGAGAGUUUGGAGGAAAUAUUUAUGCCCAGAUAUCUGAUGUUGCCAGUGGAAAAAGAGUAAUGCUAGUUUUGGACUGCGGGAUUCCACGAGUUUUCUGUUAAAGGUAAUAUAAUUGAUUUUGACCAGUUGACGGAGUAGUCUGAAAGACGCGAGAAGGUUGUGAUGAGGUUAAAUACUUCCUUUACUAAAGUUUUGGGUUCUUGUAGAUAAAGUAAAAUGUCUUCUGCGUAUAGGUUAAUUUUAUGUUCAGACUCCAGAGCGCAGAUACCUUUGAUAUUGGUGUUCUGACGUACCGCUGUUGCUAAUGGUUCGAUAAAGAUCGCAAACAAUAAGGGAGAGAGUGGGCAUCCCUGUCUUGUUCCCCUUUGCAGACUGAAGCUUUGUGAAAUGAUCCCAUUAGUGGUGACUUUAGCCUUGGGUGAGUUGUACAGAGCUGAUACCCACUGGAUAAACGAUUCUCCGAAGCCAAAUUUGUGGAGCACAGCAAAGAGAAAGGACCAAUUAACUUUGUCGAAGGCUUUUUCUGCGUCCAGUGACAUAACAAUAGCUUCUUUGUUGUGGCGUUGUGUCAAAGAGAUUAGAUUUAGAAGUCUUCUGAUAUUGUUGGUGGAGUGUCGGCCAUUUAUAAAUCCUGUUUGAUCGCAGUGAAUUAUUGACGGGGUGAUUUUCUCCAGCCUGGAGGCGAGAGCUUUUGAGAUAAUUUUGAUGUCGGUAUUUAUUGGUGACAGAGGUCGAUAGCUGGAGGGAAGCGUAGGAUCUUUGUCUGGUUUCAGUAAUAAUUUAAUUGCAGCUGUAUUCAUGUGCGGACUGAUAUAACCAUUAUUUUUAAUCUCUGUCACUGUCCUGAAGAAAAGGGGUGCUAACAUUGACCAAAAAUGUUUAAGAAAUUCAGCAGGGAAACCAUCAGGACCAGGUGCCUUACCUGCUGGCAUACUGUCUAAUGCACAUUGUAAUUCUUUGAUAGUCAAUGGAGCUUCUAAUAUGUCUCUGUAAUCUGACGUUAGUUCGGGCAUGUUUAGAUUGUUAGAAAAUGUGAUGUUUAGAAAAUUAUGAAUGUCUUCUUUGUUUGGGUUAACUGUUGCUGAGUAUAAACUCUGGUAAUAAUUAUAGAAGGUCUGGUUAAUUUCCUGAGGUGACUGAGUAUAUUUUCCUGAGGGAUCCUGAAUUGCUGUUAUGAAGGAUUUUUCUUUAUUGCGCUGGAGUUGGUUCGCCAGAAAUUUUCCUGAUUUAUUAUUGUGUUCAAAAUCAUUAUAUCUUAGUUGUUGUAAUAAAAACUAUGUUUUCUUGGAUAGGAUAUUAUCGAGGUGUAGUUUUGCAUUUUGUAGUUUGGAGCAUAAUUGAUCACUUGGAUUUACUGCAUAAUUCUCUGUAAGUUGUUUAAUUUUUUCUUCAAUUUCUUUCUCUGUUUGUAGAUCCUUUUUUUUUCUUGUACGAGGUGUAUGAUAUUAUUUUACCUCUGAUUACGGCCUUUCCAGUUUCCCAAAGCAAAGAUGGAGAUAAGUCAUUAGAGUCAUUGUUUUUUAGAAAGUCUGCCCACUCACUCCUUAUUACUCGAUCAAAUUCUGGGUCUUUGAGUAGAGAGAUGUUGAGGCGCCAAGUCUGAGGAGGUUUAGGGAUGGAAUCUGUUUGCAGGCAGAGAGAUAUUGGUGCGUGGUCGCUGAUAAUUAUUGGGUGGAUUUUAGUGGUAACUUUAUGUGCGAUAGAGUUAUUUGAGUGGAAAAAGUCAAUUCUUGAAAAUGUUUUGUGUACCGCAGAGAAAAACAUAUAGUCCCUCUUUGUUGGGUUUUUGAGUCUCCAGACAUCGUCUAGUCCAAAAUCUUUCAUAUAAUCAUGUAUGACUUUAACUGAUUGUGACUGUUUUGCAUGUAUUGGACUAUUAGAUCGAUCUACUGAAGGGUUUAAAACUAUGUUGAAGUCACCACCGAUAAUAGUUGUUGAGUUAUCAGAUAAGUCUGCUAAGUGAGAGAAAACAGUGUGAAAGAAGGCUGGAUCUUCAUUAUUCGGAGCACAGAGGUUUGCAAUACAAUAUAAUUUAUUAAAGAUUGUUGCCUGGAUAAUAAUAUAUCUGCCCUCUGAGUCCGUUACUGUACUGUUUAAAGUGAAUGGUACUCUCUUAUGGACUAGAAUGGAGACCCCUCUUUGUCUGCUGUUAUAACAAGAUGAAAAGAUAAUACUAUAAUUCGAGUCUGAUAAACAUUUUUCUUCCGACUGUAGUAAAUGCAUUUCUUGGAGGAGCAAAAUAUCUGCUUUUAAUUUAGAGACAUAAUCCAUGAUUUUAACUCUUUUUGUUUGUGAGCGUAUGCCAUGAACAUUCCAGGCUACGAUAUUAAACUUGAACAUAGAGAGAGAAGAUGUUCUGUCACUGAGUAUGUAGCAAUAUAAUAUAACAUCUGUGUGUAUCCUUGUGAGCUGUCUGUUGCUGUCUGUGAGCUGUGAGUGUUGGAGAGAGAUGUAUACAGCAGGUCAGGAUCUAUAUAUACAUUAUAUAAUAGCACAUCAUUGCCUGGAAAACUAUCAACAAACACAUUAUAAAACAUACAAGCACAAUAAACAUGGGGGGUACAUAGAGUGUGAGUGAGAGUGUGGGGGGUGAGUGUGUGAGAGGGGGAGAGAGCUAAAGGGAGACAUAUAGAGAGGGAGAGAGAGAAAAGUAGAAGGAGGAGGGUGUUCUCCAGUGGGGAGUGUAGGUUAGGAGAGUGAGACGUUUACACCUGUGACAUUAUUAUUUUUUUGAUUACAUUUUGUAGCACAAAUUGCAUAAAGUGAUAUAUUAAGCGUUUAAGCCAUUUUUUUAUUUUUUAUUUUUUAUUUUUUAUUUUUUUUUUAGAAGAGCCAGGGUGUAAUGGAGGGUUCCCAAAAUAGCUGCCUUGGCUUGUAGGCCUUCUAAUGUGUCUAACACAGAUUUUAUCAAACAAAUAAGUUUCUUAAAAUAAGAAAGCCAGUUGUGAUAUAAUGUCACCUUCUUUGUUUUCUGUAUAUUGACUUAUUCUGUUCUGCUAAAUAGCUUUAUUAUUAUUUUUGUUAUUAUUAUCAUUGUGGUUGUUGCUCGUAAUACAAGAAAACAAGAAAGAAGAUAAUAAUAAUGACCACUGUGACAAUUUCUGAAAUUAUUUUAUCGUUAUGUGAAUGAUAACUUUUUCAUGUGGUUAAUAAAGCUAAGGUCAAAUUAGAUAAAUUUGAAUAUUUAAGAUCAGAAGCAUGGAAUAUAAUAUAAAAAAAUCUUAUUAUGACAGAACAUAAUCUUAAGAUCUUAAUGCAUUCAGUUGACUGCAGAAAAAAAUCAAAACAGAUUUCUGUUUCUUUCAGACAAAGUUUGUAAAGGUACUUUCCUUUAUCUGAACUUUGGCAAAGAACAAAGCGGCAUAACUUCAAGAACCGUUUCCACCUUUUAAACAUGUCAAACAUUCUUCUUUUUUGAUGGGCGCUGGAUGUUAAGACGUUCAUAAACACAAACAGAUGCUUGUUAGCAGUUUGUGUUUUCUGACAUACGUGUGCUUUUACGAUGAACGUAAGGAUCAUGGUUGAAACACGCUAAUCAGGCUGCAUGUGAAAAAUUUGGCAUUUGAAAGUCUUUGUGUGUGUGUGUGUGUGUGUGUGUGUGUGUGUGUGUGUGUGUGUGUGUGUGUGUGUGUGUUUUGUCCACUUACAUUUUGUUUGCUUGUCUGUAGAAUGAGACUGUUGGUUUACUCAGAGCGUUUGCCUGUGCAGAUGUUUACUUGUAUCCGUGUACCGCUCAGCAGCCCCUCUUUGUUUUUGCUUUUUUACCAGACAGUAUUCCCAUGUUUCACCGCGGAAAGAAGGAACUUCCUUUAAAAAAAAGACUAACUUCAGAAACAACAAACUCUGCUAAAAUCUCAAUCUCUUAAAACAGCCAUUUCCCAUUAAUCACUAAAACAAUAAUGUGCAGGAACAAAACAAAUGGGUCAAUAUAUAAUUGUGGGACUUUUUGAAUCAUAGUUGACAUUUUUGCUGUUGUCAGGCCUAUAAAUCAACAUGGCUGCCGGAGAAAUAAGCUGUUAAUGUGAUGAAAGCAUAAUCUGAUGCUUUUCUGCACAUCAUUUCUUAUCCUAAAAGGUCAUCUUCAGCAAAAGAAAUGCAAAACCGAUGUUCUGAGAACUGAUGCUGUGCUAUGAUGGCAAUGAACAGCUUCCAACGAAAAAGGGAAGAAGUGAAAAUUUAAAACACAAAAAGACUCUUUGAGAACUCCGCUUGAGGUAAAUGGGCCAGAAUGCAGAUCAGCAUCAGGUUUUAAUGUGGUUUGAGUUGAAGUGGCAGCCGUUAGUUUCACUCUUGGCUAACGUCGUGAGCUUCAGUGGAGCGGUGAAAGCUCAGGCAGACCUACCAUGUGUCCAUAAACACAUCCAUAUGUCAGAUCUGUUGUGUCCUCCUUACACCACCUCGGCAUACGGCACUUCUGUGGUCACGGUGUUGUCAUCGAGCUUUGUGCUCUCGCUGUGCACUCACAGAAGGGAGUAACCGCACAUAUUCCUAAACUUAUUACCCCGCUGUCUUAUUUCUGUUUCCCGGAAUAAAGUCAGGAGAAAGUCUCUUAAUCUGUCUUUGAGGUGACACCAUAAAUAUUUAUCACUACUACCGCCACAAUUAUUAUUAGCAUUAUUAUUAUCGGCUACUGUGGGAAAAAAAAGAGACACUGGAGGUGGUUUGAGUCGGAAGGCAGAAUCUGUCUUGCUCUUUAUUAUUAACCGUUGUAAUAAUAAUAAUAAUAAUAAUAAUAAUAAUAAUAAUAAUUGUUACAACUCGGCUCUGAAGCUGCAACAAAACAGGAAGACAACAACAGGGUGGUGACUAAAAGAAAGGUUUUACUACAGUUUUUCUCAAUUGAUAAGACACUAAAUUCCAUUCACUGCACACAGCCACCAACUGACUGCACACAUUUCUCAAAAACAGGACACUGCUGUCCAGACUUUGGACACUAUUCUUGGUUUGCACACAGUUUCCAAAACUCUUGCACUCGUUUUGCAAAAGACUGAACACGCUUUUUGCUCAUUUGAACACACUUUUUCACUCAUAGCACACAUUUUUCAAAAAGUGAACACUAGGAAGCAGAACUGGGACACUGUUCCAACACUGCUGUCACAAUUAAGACACAACAGAUCAAAACUGAAAACACUUUUGCCAAUGAAGUGUACACUAUAAAACCUGCUGGGAAGCAGAAUUAGCUGUUCAGAAUGGAUGUCAGAGGAGCAAGAGGUUAUGUUGGAAGAAGAGGACGUGGACGACCCAGACCAUGGCCAGAACCAGAACCAGAACCAGAACCUGGACUUGCCCAUGCACCUGGUCCUGGACCACUUUACAUGAGAGUUUUUCAGUUGGAUUCUGAUGAUACACAUGAAUAAAUCUAUGUGGAUGAGGCUGGUUUCAACCUGGCCAAGAGGAGGAGAAGAGGGAGAAACAUCAUUGGACAAUGGGCUAUAGUGAACAUCACAGGUCAGCGUGGGGCAACGUAACCCUCUGUGCUGCAAGAAGCAAUCAUGGAGUAAUUGACUGUCAUGCAGUUCUGGGCCCAUAGAACACCCAGCAUUUGCUGACUUUCCUAGAUGGACUUAGAGGGUCUACUGACAUGGGUGCAGCAGGGCGUUUGGCAAGAAGACACAGUUUUGUUGUUGUCUGGGACAAUGUUAGUUUUCAUAGAGGACUAUUGAUUCGGUAACAGUUCAAUAUGAACCCUCAAGUUAUUGUGGUUUUUCUGCCACCAUAUUCUCCCUUUCUGAAUCCUAUAGAGGAAUUCUUCUCUACAUGGAGGUGGAAGGUAUAUGAGCGGCAGCCAUACAUUCAGGAAAAUCUCUUGCAAUCACUGGUCUUGUCAUGUGGUGAUGUUUCUGCUGAUGCAUGUCAGGGAUGGAUCAGACACACUAGGUCCUUCUUUCCAGAGAAAACAUAGCUUGUGAUGUUGAUGAGGUCCUGUGGCCUGACCAGGCUGAAAGAACUGAUGCAGACGUGGUGUAAAUAUUUACAUACUGUGUACAAUACAGUGCUUUAUUUUUAUAAUGCACAGUCAGGCACUGCAAUGGCCCCGUCUGAUUUAUUUAUAGCAUGCAUUUGUGUUUAAGUUGUCAUUUUUGAGGCCUGUAUCAUUUUUUUUUACACUUCAUGUGAAAACAGUGAGAGAAGAGUGUUUUGUAUUUAGCAGUGCAGUGUCCUACUUUUGCUUCGUGUGUCUUAAUUUUGAAAACAAAGUUCAAGUUUUGACAGUAAAGUGUGCUUUUGACACAAGUGUCCAGUGCUUUGUGAACUGUGUUCAAAUAAAAAAAAAACAGUGUGCAGUGUGUUGGGAAAUGUGUGCUAUUUUUCAGGAACGAUGUCUUAUCAAUUGAGGAAAACUGUCAUAACAUAAAAAAAAGCCAGGGGAUGGAAAAAGUAUGCACAAUAAUUUUCUAAAUUUAUCUACAAAGAGCACGGACUGUAGUAAUGUCUGGUGCCUUUUUCAGUUUCAUAGAGUUGUUUUUCCAGUGCGGAUUAAGUCACUUUUUAAGAUUGUAAAUCAAACUGUGCAACAUUACAGGUUAUUAUAUUAAACUGAAGCCACUCAGAGUGGACAUUUUUACUUAAACUGUUUAGUGGAUAGUGUAUUGUAUGAAUAAUGGUAGUAUAUCAUGCAGAGACAGACCCCAUCCAUAAAUGUAGCUAUAUUAUCCUCAACCAUUACCAGCUUCUUAAUAUCACAUAAUGUUAAUAAAUUUGAAUAAAAUGCAGACUUUGCUUAUCUCAUGUGAAUCCGCCUAUUGAAAGACAGAUAUGUGUGCUGUUUUGCAGUCUACAUACCAAGAUUUAAACUGUGGUAAUAUAAGCUUUACUGGCUGUUAAUUGUGCUCAUUUCCAUUAUAUUUGGAUGUUUUUCUGCAUUUGGAGUUUUCUUCUGUCUUAAAGUUUAUGCAUUUGCGCCUGGUUUGCAGUGAAAUCUGGAAUAAAUCUUUUCUCAUUUUGGAGUAAAUAAACACAUAUUCAAAUAACAGUAGCAUGUAUUUACAGAAUUAGUAUCUCAGACUUGGGGCUGCACGGUGGCUCGGUGGAUAGCACUGUUGCCUUGCAGCUAGAAGAUUUAAUGCAGUUUGCUAAACUGUUUAUGUCUGUUACAUGCUCUUACAAUAAAGGCUCGCACCUCUUUUAAGGAGCUGGCUAAAGAAUUAAAAAUGUUAUCCAACAACACAUUUAAUCACAUGUAUAAAUAAAUAUUUCAAUUUACAAUAUAAGUCAUCUUGGGGCACGUAUAAAGGGUAAGACCUCACAAUAUAUUAUUGUAUAGGGAAACCGUACUGUAGUUCAUUUAGCCCCAUCUGGUGAAUAUUUUGCUUGGUACUGAAAACUUUUGAUAACUGUUAACUGGACAGCAACGACAUUCUGUUCAAACAGUCGUGUCUAAAUCAAGAAGCACUGUCAACCCAUGACUGUUGAUGUUCAUGGUGGAAAUUAACAAAUCUAAGAGAAAUGAAUAGAUGCAAUAAGAUGAAAAAAAAAAACUCAAACAUUAUGCCUGCAACAAAUUAGCAUAUUAGCAUUUCACUUAGCAUUAUCUCUAUCAGCACUGCUAGAGUAGUGGUAUCAUUCAAGAUUCACAUUCAUUUUGAACUGCCUCGGGGGACAAAUGAAGUUUUUUGAAUAUAAUUACAAGCAUGCUAAGGUUAGCUUCCAGCUCAAAGUACUAUUGCGCCAAACCACAGCAUCAUAGAGCCAUUAGCUUGGCUGCAAGAGUCUUGUUUUCCUGCAUAUUUUCAUAAAAUGAUGACUGCGAUCAUGUUCACUUUAUGCCAGAUGUCUUUAUAUAAGUGCUCGCUUGAGCAAAAAAAAUGUCUUUGGUCAAAAACUGCAAUCAAUAAAGCAAAACAUCAGCUGCCAGGAAGAGUUUAUCUGGUCAAAAAGACAGCUGGAGUAAAAACAUCUGUUUCUCUGUUGUGCUGUCACAAACGGUGAUUAAAAUGUCAGGCCGGCAGCAAAGAUGCCUCAGCGAGGCAAGAGAGAAUGAAGUGGCCUUGCAGCGGGAGGAGAUGGCCCAGAAUACUGCCUUCAACCAGUCAUUCCUGGGUGUGCUGGGGCAGCUGGGGCAGGCAGUGCUGGGUGUGGUGGGGCAGGCAGUGCUGGGGCAGCUGGGGUAGCUGGGUAGGCAGUGGGCAGCCGGCGAGUGUGAGCGAGUCCACCUCCCAUAGACUUGAGAUUUACAAGUGCUGGUCAUAUAAUUAGAAUAUCAUGAAAAAGCUCGUCUUUUGGACAACUGUCAGGUCAGCAGUCUUCCCCAUGAUUGUGUAGCCUACAGAACUAGACUGAAAGACCAUUUAAAGGCCUUUGCAGGUGUUUUGAGUCAAUUAGCUGAUUAGAGGCGUCUUUAAUAUUGAACCUUUCCACAAUAUUCUAAUUUUCUGAGAUACCAAAUUUGGGAUUUUUGUUAGUAUUCAGGUAUAAUCAUCAAAGAGAAAUAAACAUUUGAAAUAUAUGUCUCUGUGUAAUGAAUGAGUAUAAUAUACAAGUUUCACUUUUUGAAUGGAAUUACUGAAAUAAUAAACUUUUUCAUGAUAUUCUAAUUAUAUGACCAGCACCUGUAGUUGUAUAGUUUUACUUUUAGCCCUCCCCUGUAGGACAGGCCCACCACAGUUUGUACUUUGCACAUUGUAAAUAGUUUUGAUUUUGCUGCUGACUAAUGAACUAUUUUGUGACUUA